rnacentral:piRNA from 1 species
UUCAGCAACAUUGGUGAAAGAGGAGGAAC